rfam:Pasteurella multocida subsp. multocida str. Pm70, complete genome.
GUGCGGUGACAAAAACUUUAGUUUUUGAACAUUGGCUUUGCCAACGGUGGCGAAGCCAUAGUAAUCGUUAAGAACGAUUACGUAUAAUUUUUUUAUAGU